GACGAACGCUGGCGGCGUGCUUAACACAUGCAAGUCGAACGGAAAGGCCCUGCUUUUGUGGGGUGCUCGAGUGGCGAACGGGGGAGUAACACGUGAGUAACCUGCCCUUGACUUUGGGAGAACUUCAGGAAACUGGGGCUAAUACCGGAUAGGAUCUCCUGCUGCGUGGUGGGGGUUGGAAAGUUUCGGCGGUUGGGGAUGGACUCGCGGCUUAUCAGCUUGUUGGUGGGGUAGGGGCUUACCAAGGCUUUGCCGGGUAGCCGGCCUGAGAGGGUGACCGGCCACAAUGGGACUGCGGUACGGCCCAGAGUCCUACGGGAGGCAGCAGUGGGGAAUAUUGCACAAUGGGCGGAAGCCUGAUGCAGCAGCGCCGCGUGCGGGAUGACGGCCUUCGGGUUGUAAACCGCUUUCGCCUGUGACGAAGCGUGAGUGACGGUAAUGGGUAAAGAAGCACCGGCUAACUACGUG
rnacentral:rRNA from 1 species